rnacentral:lncRNA from 1 species
CUCAUCCACCCAGCAUACAAUGGGAAUGGUCACCCCCUGGACUUGUGCAAUGUGAAAGCCCAGUUCUGUCCAGAGGAGUUAAUACUAAGCAAGAGGCUUUUUCUUUUAUAUUGGUGAGGAAGAUCAGCCCUGAGCUAACAUCUGUGCCCAUUUUCCUUUAUUUUCUACGUGGGACGCCGCCACAGCACGACUUGGGUAAGUAGUGCGGGGGUCGGCGCCCGGCUCCGAACCUGCGACGCCCAGGCCACUUACGGGGAAUGCACGGACUUAACUUCUACGCCACCCACCCGCGCCAGCAAUAGGCUUUUUAAAAGGGAAGAAGAUUAAGAGAAUUUUUUGAGCUGGCAGUCAAUCACCUUAGGGAUUAUUAAGACCAAUCUCUUCGUUCUGUUUAUCAGGACAUUUUGCUCCUUAAGACAAAAUAAAUGCAGUAAAUUUAUCUUCUGUAUUUCUUCAAGCCCACUAUUUUUUAAAAGUCAGUAAGGAAUAUUAUUUAGAAGUUUCACUUUAUAACCAUGAAAUAUAAAAGCAGCUUUUCAAAAACUGUGUUGGUCUGGUUUUUCCAAUACAAAGCAGAACACUCCCAAAGCUUCCCCAAAUCCUUCUUGUGUGUUUAUGCUGAAGUUAUCAGCUUCAACACCUCCCGGUGCCACUCCAGCACUCCCCUCCGCCCCCAGCCCCCCAGGGGGAUUUAAGAGCCUAGGGCUGGCUAUUCACAACACAGCAUUUAAAACAACAAGGCUUCUCAUUGUAAAAACAUUCCCCUCCCACCAAAGGGAAGUCCCUCCCACCAACCCUGUGAUUUGCUAAGGAAAGAAAGAAAUAUGUACAGCUCCAAUUUACACGUAAGUCAAAACUAUUUCAAACUAGAACGAGAGGCUAAAAGAAUCCCUUCCAGUUCUAAAACUCCAUGAUUCUAAUAAUUCAUUCACCUUAAUAAUUUUGCAUGACAUCUUCUAUUCAGAUACCACUUUAAAUUGCUUAUUUUGAGAUUUAUUAAAUGUUCAGCAAUUUUAAUUUCAAGCGAAUGCUGGCGUAUUCAUUAAACGGUGCUCUAUACACCUGGAUAAUGAGACCAAAUUUUAUGAGAGGCUGAAUAACAGUCUUGUUAAUUAUAAUUUAAAACAGACCUUCUUAAAUAAUCUUUGCAUUCUUAUUUUGGAAAAUCUUUCUGUUACUACCUUACUACUACAGUUGCUUAAAAAAAAAAAAAAAAACUUAGAAGAUACCAAGCAGCGUGGUAUCUUGAUUUAGCACUCAAAAGUGGUGAUCCCUCACACAGGGAUUUCAGCUGAGAAUUAAUGAAAAAUAGAGAGUACGAUCUAUUUAGCACAAAUAUCCUAAUAACAAGCCAGGAGUUAGUUCCUCCAUUGCUAAGGGAAGGCCCUCAUCUACUAAGUCAAAAUUUAAACAGAACACCUGUACGGAGAUGACACACAUUUUGUGUCUUUCCAUUCAAAUUUCAGUAUAUUCAGGUUUCUUAGUAAAAAUGUGGACAAUCCUUCCUUUAAAAAUGCACGUAUUUGCUGAAUACUUUGGGAAGGGAGCUGUUCCAUUGAAUUUUUACCUGCCAAGUGUAUACUCCCCGGUUUAAUAGCUGAGGUUAAAUAAUUUUUAAAAGUCUAGAUGACUAUUACCUUAAGAACACUCUCACAUAUCCUACAUAAGUGUGAAAAUGUAAAAAAUCUUGUUUAAUAUUUUGUCAACAUAAGAUCUACAAAUAAAGUGCACUUUCCCGGUUACGCUUGCAAAGAAUACUCAUUCGAGGGCACAGAAUACCCAUUCGAGAGCCUCAGAACACGCUGCCAGCAGCCCAGGACACCCGGGAGCCCGCCGUCGGCCUCUGCGGGGGCUGCUUCCCCUCCCCCAGCCCCCUGGGCACCGGGACCCUGCAGUCAACAAACGAAAGGGCCGCCCAGGGCUGGCACUGCUGCCCAACCCCGCGGCCCGCUUCGCCCGGAGAGAGACGCUCCUCCCGAAGUUCCGCAGUCAGGCUGGAGGGGAAGUGAUUGGCAACAGGCGAAUUUUAUCGGAAUCCGCAUCUCCAGAGUCUGGCCGGGGAACUAACUGCAAGUGAAGUUGCAUCAGAAAAGACAAGCUCCGGGGAAGUCGGCUCAACUAGGGCGCAGGACGGGCACGUUAUGCAACGGCUGCCGCUCUCACGGCCCGGUUGCGCCCCGAAAGGACCGGGAGGCCAACUCGGACACGCCGGGCGGGGAGAUUUCCCCGUGGGCGCUGCGGCCCGUUGCGGGAACAGCGCCAGUGGGGAGACAGCGCCCGUGGGGGGUCGGCGCCCGUGGGGGGACGGCGCGGCCCGCAGGGAGACGGCGCCCGUCGGGGAACAGCGCCCGCAGGGAGACGGCGCGGCCCGCAGGAGGACGGCGCCCGUGGGGGUACAGCGCGGCCCGCGGGGGAACAGCGCCCGUGCCACUGUUUUCUUAAGCAUCUCACACCAGCCUUGGUGAAGAAACGUGGCUUGACGAGUGGUGUAGGUCUGCACCUGGGAUCCAAACCCACAAAUCCGGGCCGCCAAAAUGGAGCAUGCUGGACUUAACCACUACGGCACAGGGCCGGGCCCUGUCCAAUGCUUUAUUUUUAUAUUUAAAAAAGUAAAGCAAAA